rnacentral:rRNA from 1 species
GACGAACGCUGGCGGCGUGCUUAACACAUGCAAGUCGAACGGAAAGGCCCUGCGUUUGUGGUGUUCUCGAGUGGCGAACGGGUGCGUAACACGUGAAUAACCUGCCCUUGACUUUGGGAUAACUUCAGGAAACUGGGGCUAAUACCGGAUAGCAGCUGCUGCUGCAUGGUGGGGGUUGGAAAGUUUCGGCGGUUGGGGAUGGACUCGCGGCUUAUCAGCUUGUUGGUGGGGGAGGGGCUGACCAAGGCUGUGACGGGUAGCCGGCCUGAGAGCGUGACCGGCCACAUUGGGACUGCGAGACGGAGCAGUGUGCUACGGGAGGCAGCAGGCGGGAACAUUGCACAAUCGGCGGACGCCUGAUGCAGAAACGUCCGGUUCGGGAUGACGGCCUUCUGGGUGUAAACCGCUUUCGGCUGUGACGCAGCGUGUGUGACGGUAAUGAGUAAAGAAGCACCGGCUAACUACGUG